GCAGUACUCCCUCCGUCCGAAAAAGCUUGCCCCUCAGAUGAAUGUAUCUAGCACCAAGUUAGUGCUAGAUACAUCCAUUUGAGGGACAAGCUUGUGACAAGCUUUUUCGGACGGAGGGAGUAUGUU
rfam:Triticum urartu cultivar G1812 contig492397, whole genome shotgun sequence.